UACGUAGGGUGCGAGCGUUGUCCGGAAUUACUGGGCGUAAAGAGCUCGUAGGUGGUUUUGUCGCGUUGUCCGUGAAAACUCACAACUCAAUUGUGGGCGUGCGGGCGAUACGGGCAGACUGGAGUACUGCAGGGGAGACUGGAAUUCCUGGUGUAGCGGUGAAAUGCGCAGAUAUCAGGAGGAACACCGGUGGCGAAGGCGGGUCUCUGGGCCGAUACUGACGCUGAGGAGCGAAAGCAUGGGUAGCGAACAGG
rnacentral:rRNA from 1 species